rnacentral:rRNA from 1 species
GUAGGCCUAACACAUGCAAGUCGAACGGCAGCACAGGAGAGCUUGCUCUCAUGGGUGGCGAGUGGCGGACGGGUGAGGAAUACAUCGGAAUCUACUUUUUCGUGGGGGAUAACGUAGGGAAACUUACGCUAGUACCGCAUACGACCUACGGGUGAAAGCAGGGGAUCUUCGGACCUUGCGCGAUUGAAUGAGCCGAUGUCGGAUUAGCUAGUUGGCGGGGUAAAGGCCCACCAAGGCGACGAUCCGUAGCUGGCCUGAGAGGAUGAUCAGCCACACUGGAACUAGAGACACGGUCCAGACUCCUACGGGAGGCAGCAGUGGGGAAUAUUUGGACAAUGGGCUGCAAGCCUGAUCCAUGCCAUACCGCAGUGGGUGAAGAACGGCCUUCGGGUUGUAAAGCCCUUAUUGUUGGGAAAGAAAUCCAGACUGGCUAAUACCCGGUUGGGAUGACGGUACCCAAAGAAUAACGCACCGGCUAACUUCGUGCCAGCAGCCGCGGUAAUACAGAAGGGUGCCAUGCGUUACUCGAGAAUUACUGGGCGUAACAGCGUGCGUAGGUGGNCGNUUUAAGUCCG